rnacentral:misc_RNA from 1 species
AAUUUAUAUGAAUAUUAAAAUAGAGUGUCCUAUUUUUUAGAGUACUGUAUAUUGUGAUUUGACUGCAGGGUGGGAGCAGUUGAGUUUAUAUUCCUGGUGUUAGAUGAUGAUCCUCCUUGCGUCAGCCAUUCUCGUAAACAUAAAGAAUUCAAAAUCUGAAGUGGAUUCUUGAAAUUUUUUCCUUUCAGAAUUCAUAAAUGACUGCUAUCCUCAGAAAAAGGUAGAAAUUUUAUUGCCAAAAUCUGAUAAGGAAAUGACUCAGUAAAAACUUAUCCCCUUUCAACUAAUAAAAACAAAACCUGUGUUCUUUGGCCGGCAUGGAAAUGCCAGUGAAGAGACCGAGGUUCCAUUUGGCAGUUUUCACCACUUACCCCACACCAAUAUUUUAACGCCCACUUGCCUUUUAUAAAUUGGGAAAUCAUGAAGAGGAAAAAACUUGACUUUCCUUUGAUGCUCAGAACUUGCUGGGUACUGAAAUGGGCAAGUUUGAGAGUGUUUUAACAUGGGUUUUUAUUACUUCCUUUGUUGCUGGGUUUGGUUUGUGUGGGACAGUCAAUGGCGGUUAUGUGAAAUACAACACUGGAGGUGGAGUUGUGCAAGGAAAACUCAAUGUUCAUUUGGUAGCACAUACACAUGAUGAUGUUGGUUGGUUAAAGACUAUUGAUCAGUACUAUGUUGGAUCAAACAACAGUAUUCAGGGUGCUUGUGUUGAAAAUGUGCUGGACUCAGUUGUGGAAUCCCUGCUUCGAGAUCCAAACAGGAAGUUUGUUUUUGUUGAAAUGGUGAUGAAAUGAAAGAUUUGUUGAUUGUUUGGUUUCCAGUGUUUAAUCUUAUUGGAAGUUCUGAGUACCGUUUUAAGGCGUUUAUAUUAAAUUUCAAGGUUGAUGUGUACGAGUUCAACCUGUAAUCAAUACACUUUAUUUAAUAAUCAUGAGUUUCAUGCACUUAAAUAUUCUACGUGCAGUUUCAUCAUACCAGAUAUUCAUGGUGUGUGUGGCUAGGACUUUCUGGUAACUCAUACAGUCAUACUGAUAAGCAAUUUGAUCAUAAUCCCGUAUGAAAUUCAUUAUUUUUAUACUUCAGAACUUUGUUAUAUGAUAUGGUUUUG